rnacentral:rRNA from 1 species
CCCAGACUCCUACGGGAGGCAGCAGUGGGGGAUAUUGCACAAUGGGGGGAACCCUGAUGCAGCGACGCCGCGUGGGUGAAGGAGCGUUUCGGCGCGUAAAGCCCUAUCGGCAGGGAAGAAGGAGGACGGUACCUGACCAAGAAGCCCCGGCUAACUACGUGCCAGCAGCCGCGGUAAUACGUAGGGGGCAAGCGUUAUCCGGAUUUACUGGGUGUAAAGGGGGCGCAGACGGCAGCGCAAGCCAGGAGUGAAAGCCCGGGGCCCAACCCCGGGACUGCUCUUGGAACUGCGCGGCUGGAGUGCAGGAGGGGCAGGCGGAAUUCCUGGUGUAGCGGUGAAAUGCGUAGAUAUCAGGAGGAACACCGGUGGCGAAGGCGGCCUGCUGGACUGCGACUGACGUUGAGGCCCGAAAGCGUGGGGAGCAAACAGGAUUAGAUACCCCCGUA